AUUGAACGCUGGCGGCAGGCCUAACACAUGCAAGUCGAGCGAGCGGCGGACGGGGGAGUAAUGUCUGGGAAACUGCCUGAUGGAGGGGGAUAACUACUGGAAACGGUAGCUAAAACCGCAUACCAUCAGAUGUAGACAGAUGGGAUUGGCGGGAAGGGGGGGGAACGGCUCACCGAGGCGACGAUCCCUAGCUGGCCUGAGAGGAUGACCAGCCACACUGGAACGUAGACACGGUCCAGACUCCUACGGGAGGCAGCAGUGGGGAAUAUUGCACAAUGGGCGCAAGCCUGAUGCAGCCAGGCCGCGUGAGUGAAGAAGGCCUUCGGAUUGUAAAGCACUUUCAGCGGGGAGGCGUUACCCACAGAAGAAGCACCGGCUAACUCCGUGCCAGCAGCCGCGGUAAUAC
rnacentral:rRNA from 1 species